rnacentral:lncRNA from 1 species
AUGUGUCUGUGUGUGUGAGACAGAGAGAGAGGGCCCAGAGCUUGGCUGGCGUCACACUGCCCCUGUAGGCAUGGCUGGGGCCUGUGGCCUGAGCCGGGCAGGGAGUCAAACUGCAAUGGUGCAAUGGCAUUCUAUUACACUUAUGUCUCUCAGCAGCGAGAGCUCCGAGGAUCUGUCUUUUUGAAACUCUGAAGCCAUCCUUGCCUUUUGGGCCCUCUCGCCAGCCUGGCCUUCCCGGCCCUGGUGCCAGCCUUGCACUCUGGGAGCCUGGCAGGUAGAGAAGCCGAGGGGGAGGGGUGGGCAGGUGCCCCCUCUCCUUGGGAGCCCCUGGGCAGUGCCCUGGGGGGGCCGCACCGCGGGUCUAGCACCGUGCUUGUCUGCCCCAGGGUGAAGGCUGAGCUAAUUGGGCUGCCGGCUUGAGGAAGAGUCGCCGAGACCGGGGCCGAAAAUUAAUUAAUUAAAUAAUAAUGAUAAUAAUAACAAUAAUCGUGGCAGUCCUAACAGCGCGCAUUCCAUGAAGUGGGUCGAGCUCCGCAGAAUGCUUUAUGUUUAUCGUCUCAUUUGAUGUUCCCCACGGCUUUUCAAGGGGCGAUGCUGUGAUUGUCCCCAUUUCACAGAUGAGGAAACUGAGACCGAGUGGAGGACUUGAAUCUGGGUCUAGCUUUUCCUAUCCCACCACCAUCCUGGGCGUGGUCCUGCCUGAUCCUGGCUCACAAGACCCUGAAGGAUUCUGUGGGACCCACAAAUCCAAGUAAGGUUUUAACAGAGGCCACGAAGGGUCUCGCCAGCAGAAGUGGAGCUUGAGUCCAGGUCCUGGUCCAGUGUCAUGGCACAUGCCCUCCUGUGGCACACAGCGGCCGCUCACUAGCAAACCUCUCAGGCUUUUUGCUUGGAUCAAGUCCUUCUCCGGCCUCCAGCCCCCUCAGGACCGUGCGAGCCCGGUCCCUCUUGUCCAGCCCCUCCUUCGCCUCCACACCCGGAUGGAUCUGCUCUGGCCCACCGGCUGGGCUCCCCUGGGGAUGCUCUGACGACCGCCACUCCCUCCGUCCUUGGCGCGUGCCCACAGCUGCGAGCAGCCCCUUCCCGCGGCCUUCCUCUGGAGCCAAGGAGAGCUCCGUCCUUCCCGGCUCCUGG